rnacentral:rRNA from 1 species
AGAAUCAACGCUGGCGGCGUGCCUAACACAUGCAAGUCGAACGAGAAAGUGGUAGCAAUACCAUGAGUAAAGUGGCGCACGGGUGAGUAACACGUGACUAACCUACCCUGGAGUGGGGGAUAACUGGGAGAAAUCCUAGCUAAUACCGCAUAAUACCUACGGGUCAAAGGAGCAAUUCGCUUCAGGAGGGGGUCGCGGCCGAUUAGUUAGUUGGCGGGGUAAUGGCCCACCAAGACGAUGAUCGGUAUCCGGCCUGAGAGGGCGCACGGACACACUGGAACUGAAACACGGUCCAGACUCCUACGGGAGGCAGCAGUGGGGAAUUUUGCGCAAUGGGGGAAACCCUGACGCAGCAACGCCGCGUGGAGGAUGAAGUCCUUCGGGACGUAAACUCCUUUCGAUCGGGACGAUUAUGACGGUACCGGAAGAAGAAGCCCGGCUAACUUCGCGCCAGCAGCCGC